UUUGUAAUUACUUGUGAAAAUACAUGUUCAUUGUUGAAAAUACAAUUGUGCAAUUACAUGUUUAUCACUGUAAUUAGUUAGAUAAGCCAAAUAUAAGCGAAAUGCUAGAAAAACUUGUUCGAACAAAAUAUAAGUCAAACAUCAAUCACAUUCAUUGUUGUCUUUAUUACGUUGUUGAUGUAGCAAAUGUUGGAAACUUUUACUUGCAAAUCCUUCGUACGACAUCAAAUGAGAAGGAUAAUGUGGUUGCAAAGCAUACGUCGGGAGUGUUUGCUGUAAUAUAUAAAAAAAUUAAAACAUGAUAUGAGAUUUUAGAAAUUAAAAAAUAUAAGUAUACAAAAUAAUUAAUAUUCGUAUUAAGAAUAAAUUAUUAUAAAUUUUUACAAAAUUUGGAUCCACCAAUAAUUUAAUCCAUCAUAUUCUAAAAAUUUAAAUUAAAAAAAUAAUAAAUCGAACACAAAAUUUAAAUUAAAAAAUUCUAAAUCGAAACAAAAUUUAAAUUAAAAAAUUCUAAAUCCCACCCAUCAUUUAAAUUAAAAAACUUCUAAAUAAAAAGAUUUCUAAAUCAAACACAACAUUUAUAUUAAAAGAAAUUCUAAAUCCAACACAAAAUUUAAAUUAAAAAUUUCUAAAUCAAAUUUAUCAUUAUUUGAUUUCUAAAUAAAAUUUUCUAAAUCAAAAUUUCAUUAUCAUAUAACAAAAAAUAAUAGAAUAAAUAAAAAAUCACUCUUUACCAGCUGGGUGUUUUACUUCAAGCUGGUGAUGAACUACUCCUGCUAGGCUGCUAAUGCCGUUUUCCUGCUUCUAAAAUGAGAAAAAAAACCCAACUCAAUCCUUUCACGUGAAUGAGCAAAUACUCCUGGCUCCUGCCCUAAUGCCGCUCUCUCUACUUGUGAAAGAGAGAAAAAUCUCAACUCAAUUAGUGCUUUUCGACAGUUAGAAUCAAAUGUGGGGGACAAAGAGUAGAAAAUGUGGAAAAAGCAAAAGUAGCAAGAAAAAACAAAAGGGACAAAAGUUCACGUGGUGGGGGGUGGGGCCGUUUCUCUCGGCAUUCUCUCAGCAUUCUCGCUGAGAAGCAUUUUCCUUUGUCUUUUUGGUCGACUUUAACAUGAUUUAGAGCUUUUGAACGCGUCUUCCAAGUGCAGAUGCCGAGUAUAUCGACUGUUCGAUGAAAUGCCCAUUUGAAUAAUUUGAGGAUCCACGAGGCCACGCCACUGGUAUUUAGGAUGCGUUUGGGAUUGAGGUUGGGCAGCUGUAGCUUAAAAGCCACAGCACUAAAGUGUUUGGUAAACACUAGCUGUUGUAACUUUU
rnacentral:lncRNA from 1 species